GACGAACGCUGGCGGCGUGCUUAACACAUGCAAGUCGAACGGAAAGGCCCUGCUUUUGUGGGGUGCUCGAGUGGCGAACGGGUGAGUAACACGUGAGUAACCUGCGCUUGACUUUGGGAUAACUUCAGGAAACUGGGGCUAAUACCGGAUAGGAGCUCCUGCUGCAUGGUGGGGGUUGGAAAGUUUCGGCGGUUGGGGAUGGACUCGCGGCUUAUCAGCUUGUUGGUGGGGUAGUGGCUUACCAAGGCUUUGACGGGUAGCUGGCCUGAGAGGGUGACCGGCCACAUUGGGACUGAGAUACGGCCCAGACUCCUACGGGAGGCAGCAGUGGGGAAUAUUGCACAAUGGGCGGAAGCCUGAUGCAGCAACGCCGCGUGCGGGAUGACGGCCUUCGGGUUGUAAACCGCUUUCGCCUGUGACGAAGCGUGAGUGACGGUAAUGGGUAAAGAAGCACCGGCUAACUACGUG
rnacentral:rRNA from 1 species